GGUGCAGCUGUUGAACUCGUCCAGCUCCACCUUCCAGCCGGAGACACAAGAUCAGAUCUACCAGCUGAUCCUCGGCUCUCUCACAGGUGUCCAUCCAUCCGUCCAUCCAUACAUGUAUUCAUCCCUCCAUCCACUUAUCCAUCAUCCCUCUGUCUCCACAGGCCCCGCCCCGCUGCGCUGCUAUGGUGACCAGAGCUACUAUGCUUUCCUGAGCUCCUCCUUCAUGAGUUUCCAGUUCCCCGAUCUGACCACCUUCCUGUCUCUGAUGCCGCCGGCCCGUGUGCCAGAGCUGAUGGAGUCGGUGUCUCCAGCGGAGGUCAGCAGUCUCCUCAACCGGCCCAACGCUGUGGACGAUGUUACCCAAAUCUGCCGGUUUUUCAGAAUUUACCCAAAGACACCCCAGUACUUACAGACAGUAUGGACAUCUGUCACUCCUUUAAAAGUUUAUAAACUAAUGUAAUGACUCUCUAGAUUUAAACCUGAUAAUAUCUGGUUCUGAAAACCUUAUAUUAACCGCUCAUGUCGUUUAGCAGCUUCUGAAUUCCUCUCAUUUACUGUGAAAUGUCCAAAGCAGCUCCGGUUUAUAGUCCUAACUGUGACGCGGUAGCAGUAAAUGAAGAAGCGUCUCUCUGUGUGUCCCGCAGGAGCCGCUGUUGCCCGUGGGUUUGGCCCGGCAGGUGUUGUCCUGCGUCUGGCCUCAGGUUCUGAAGCUGGACGUCCAGUCUGAGGUGAUUCAGUGGUUUGAUCUUCGACUGGUUCAGUACCUGCCUCUCCUCACCCCACAGUUCAUCGCUCCAGACGUCAUGCUAAACGCCUCCUGUCUCUCCUUCAAGAAGUUUGUUUCAGUGAUGGCUAAUUACAACUACACUGCAGCGGAGUUUUCUCCGAGUGACAUCUACAGCACCAUCCUGGUCUACCUCAACACCUCCUCAGAUUCAACUCCUAAAUGCUAUAACACCUCCAACCCUGAUCUCAGCUCCACCGCCUGGUUCGCAGACUACAUCUCCGUCUUCUUGAGCUUCGUCACACUGGACGACCUCCUCCAGUUUGGCUCCAUUCAGCCGUUCCUUGUGAACCUGGAGAACCUGCAGCUCUUCGGUCAGACCAGCGUUCCUGAUGACGUCAUGGAGUACUACGUGACCCUGCUGUUCGAGGCGAAUCCGUCCUUCAGCGCCUACUAG
rnacentral:lncRNA from 1 species